rnacentral:rRNA from 1 species
UACAGAGGGGGCAAGCGUUGUUCGGAAUUACUGGGCGUAAAGGGCUCGUAGGCGGCCAACUAAGUCAGACGUGAAAUCCCUCGGCUUAACCGGGGAACUGCAUCUGAUACUGGAUGGCUUGAGUUCGGGAGAGGGAUGCGGAAUUCCCGGUGUAGCGGUGGAAUGCGUAGAGAUCGGGAAGAACAUCAGUGGCGAAGGCGGCCUGCUGGGCUGUUGCUGACGCUGAGGCGCGACAGCGUGGGGAGCAAACAGG